AGAUUGAACGCUGGCGGCAGGCCUAACACAUGCAAGUCGAGCGGCAGCACGGGUACUUGUACCUGGUGGCGAGCGGCGGACGGGUGAGUAAUGCCUAGGAAUCUGCCUGGUAGUGGGGGAUAACGCUCGGAAACGGACGCUAAUACCGCAUACGUCCUACGGGAGAAAGCAGGGGACCUUCGGGCCUUGCGCUAUCAGAUGAGCCUAGGUCGGAUUAGCUAGUUGGUGAGGUAAUGGCUCACCAAGGCGACGAUCCGUAACUGGUCUGAGAGGAUGAUCAGUCACACUGGAACUGAGACACGGUCCAGACUCCGUACGGGAGCAGCAGGU
rnacentral:rRNA from 1 species